GCAAACUUGGUCAUUUAGAGGAAGUAAAAGUCGUAACAAGGUUUCCGUAGGUGAACCUGCGGAAGGAUCAUUACCGAGUGUUGAUUGUCUCUGGCAAUCGCCUCCCACCCUUGAUUAUUGUCUUGUUGCUUCGGCGAGACGUCUUUUACAAAAAGCCGUCGACUAAUAUUCAAUGCGCAAUGCUGUUUUGAGUAAUGUGGGCGUGCGCUCGCCGAAGGUUUUCACUCAGAAUCUUGAUGUCUGAAAAAUAAAAUGAAUUUUAAAAACUUUCAACAACGGAUCUCUAGGUUUCGGCAUCGAUGAAGAACGCAGC
rnacentral:misc_RNA from 1 species